CCAAGGAGUCUAACAUGUGCGCGAGUCUCCGGGUGAUCGAAACCCGUGGGCGCAAUGAAAGUAAAGGCCGUCCUCGGACGGUUGAGGUGAGAAGCGGCGUUCACAUUCGUCGCCGCAUCAUCGACCGACCUUGUCUGCUCUCAGAGAGGUUUGAGUAAGAGCGUAUCUGUUGGGACCCGAAAGAUGGUGAACUAUGCCUGAAUAGGGUGAAGCCAGCGGAAAC
rnacentral:rRNA from 1 species